UACGGAGGAUCCAAGCGUUAUCCGGAUUUACUGGGCGUAAAGCGUGCGCAGGCGGUUCGGAAAGAAAGAUGUGAAAUCCCAGGGCUCAACCUUGGAACUGCAUUUUUAACUACCGAACUAGAGUAUGUCAGAGGGGGGUGGAAUUCCACGUGUAGCAGUGAAAUGCGUAGAUAUGUGGAGGAACACCGAUGGCGAAGGCAGCCCCCUGGGAUAAUACUGACGCUCAUGCACGAAAGCGUGGGGAGCAAACAGG
rnacentral:rRNA from 1 species